GAUGAACGCUAGCGGCAGGCCUAAUACAUGCAAGUCGAACGGUGUCUUCGGACAUAGUGGCGCACGGGUGCGUAACACGUAUGCAACCUACCUUACAUUGGGGGAUAGCCUUUCGAAAGGGAGAUUAAUACCGCAUAAGACAGUAGCUGGGCAUCCAGCAGCUGUUAAAGAUUUAUCGAUGUAAGCUGGGCAUGCGUCCAAUUAGCUAGUUGGUGAGGUAACGGCUCACCAAGGCAAUGAUUGGUAGGGGAACUGAGAGGUCAAUCCCCCACACGGGCACUGAGAUACGGGCCAGACUCCUCCGGGAGGCAGCAGUAGGGAAUAUUGGGCAAUGGACGCAAGUCUGACCCAGCCAUGCCGCGUGCAGGAUGAAGGCGUUAUGCGUUGUAAACUGCUUUUAUACAGGAAGAAACGACUCUUGCGAGAGGCAUUGACGGUACUGUAUGAAUAAGCACCGGCUAACUCCGUGCCAGCAGCCGCCGUAACAC
rnacentral:rRNA from 1 species